rnacentral:rRNA from 1 species
UACGAAGGUGGCAAGCGUUGUUCGGAUUUACUGGGCGUACAGGGAGCGUAGGCGGUUCGGUAAGCCCUCUGUGAAAUCUCCAGGCUUAACCUGGAACAGUCGGAGGGGACUGCUGGGCUAGAGGACGGGAGAGGAGCGCGGAAUUCCCGGUGUAGCGGUGAAAUGCGCAGAUAUCGGGAGGAACACCAAUUGCGAAGGCAGCUCGCUGGGACGUCACUGACGCU